rnacentral:rRNA from 1 species
UACAGAGGUCUCAAGCGUUGUUCGGAUUCAUUGGGCGUAAAGGGUGCGUAGGUGGCGCCGUAAGUCGGGUGUGAAAUCUCGGGGCUUAACUCCGAAACUGCAUUCGAUACUGCGGUGCUUGAGGACUGGAGAGGAGACUGGAAUUCAUGGUGUAGCAGUGAAAUGCGUAGAGAUCAUGAGGAAGACCAGUGGCGAAGGCGGGUCUCUGGACAGUUCCUGACACUGAGACACGAAGGCCAGGGGAGCAAACGGG